GUUGUGAACAGGGUUUUGUGGAGUAUUUUUUAGAAACUUUUGCAGUAAAGCUAUAUAGGUAAGUACUGAGAUGGAAAGUUGAAAUAAUAAUUAAAUAUUUAAGGUUUGGUAAGAAGAUUUUAAUGGUUGUACCUUUUGUAUAAUGGUUUGGUAAGAAUAGGUAUGGAGAUAAUGUUAUUCGUUCUCGAAGCAAGGUGAUCUAAUGUUUUCUACUUGUGUAGUGAAACUUUUACUGUUGCAAAAGUAAGGUUGGAGGAAAUGUUAGUUGUGAGAUGCUAAUCGCACUUUGAGAUAGCUAGUUUUCUGGGAAAUUGAUGUAAGUCAAGGUUUGUGGUUGCUACUUAUUUUUGGUUUAGCUCUUUUUUGAGAAUACUGAUUUAUUUGGUGGUGGCAUUUUCUCAUACGGAGGGGGAUAAGCUCUUCUGUUUAGUUGGAAAAAUCCUUUUUUAUUAAUUAAUGGGCGUAACUAACAUUUUUGUUUAAAUGCUGGAGUAGGGUUAAUAGCACCUUUCUUGUUAAAUGGCGUUAAAGCUUUUGCUAUGGUCAUCAAAGAUGGAUAAAUUUUUAUAUAGUUUCAGAGGUUGUAAUUAGGUACUGGAAAUCUCUAGGCUUUCUAGAGGUUAUGAUGCUUAAAUUAGUAGGGAUAAGUAAGAAGUUAGUAGGUAACCUACUAGUAAAAUGUGCUGUUUGUGUUUUAAGCGUUUCUAACGUUGGAUGAAUAAAAGGGAGUUUUCAGGAAAUGGCUUUUAUUUUAACGUCUUUCGACGCAGAGGGUAAUUAAUUAAUAUCUAAAUUAGGGAAGAGGAACUCGGCAAACAUUAGCUUUGCCUGUUUACCAAAAACAUCGCCCCUUGAAAAGUUUUAAGGUAUAAGGGGUACUGCCUGCCCGGUGACAAUUGUGUUAAACGGCCGCGGUAUUUUUGACUGUGCGAAGGUAGCGUAAUCAUUUGCCCUUUAAUUGGGGGCUUGAAUGAAUGGCAAGACAGAAGCUAUGCUGUCUUUUCUUUAAUUUCUUGAAUUUAAUAUUGUUGUGAAGAAGCGACAAUGCGACCGUAGGACGAGAAGACCCUGUCGAGCUUUACUAAAAGUGGUUUUGUUGAGUUAGAUUUUGAGGGCUAAUUAUUUUUACUGGUAACAGUAAUGUUGUUAACUACUCUUGAAAAUUUUAUUAUGAAAUUGUUUUAUUGUUUGGUUGGGGCAACCGCGGAGAAUAAGAAUCCUCCGCUUUUUGUGAAGGAAAAGUUACUACUUUGUUGUAUAAUUAUUUAUUUAGCAGGAUCCACUGUUUAAGUGAUUAAAGGAAUAAGUUACCGCAGGGAUAACAGCGUUAUUCUUUUGGAGAGUUCAUAUUGAUAAGGGAGUUUGCGACCUCGAUGUUGGAUCGGGAUGUCCUGGGGAUGUAGCAGUUCCUGAGGGUUGGUCUGUUCGACCAUUAAAAUCCUACGUGAUCUGAGUUCAGACCGGCGUGAGCCAGGUCAGUUUUUAUCCACGGUGUAUUUUUUGUCUUUUUUAGUACGAAAGGACCGGAAAGGCAGCACCAAUGCUUUUAGGUACGUGUUUUGUAAAAAAAAAUUUGGUUACAGAUUAAA
rnacentral:rRNA from 1 species